rnacentral:rRNA from 1 species
AUGUGGUAUAUUCGUAGGGGAGUUGUGCUAACGAAAGACAACCUUGCACGACGCAACUGGCCAGGAAGUAAGUAGUGUUGCUUUUGCGCUCAUGACGAGAUAAUCAAGCACCUCUUUUUCCUAUGCAAGUUUUCACGUUCUACAUGGUCAGUCAUCCAAAUAGCGUCAAAUUUGUAUCCGCCCACAAGUGUUGCCAAUAUUAUUUGGUCAUUAGUUGGACCGUAUUUCAAAUAA